AGAGCAACAGCCAUCAGACCACCUCUGCUGUGAGGGUGUCGGCGAAAGGCUCGAGUGACGUGACACAGGCGUCGGUAACACAGCCGUCGGUGGAGCGCGUACUGAGCGACAAGAGCAUGGAGCUGGCACAGGCGGGCGAUCGAGCCAUGUUGAGGGAAGAGUUCACCGCACGCUUUGCCACGCGUGUGGCCUUUAGUAAGCACGCCCAGAAACAGCAUAAAGACGGCAGCGAGGGCUCGGAGCGGUGUGCUCUCAGCCCCGCGGCUGCUCUGCACGAGGCAGUCG
rnacentral:ribozyme from 1 species